UCCGAUAUGGUGUAGUGGCUAACAUUAUCGCCUCUCAUAUGUCAAGAAACACUGUACUGCGCGAUAGCCCGGGGUUCGAUUCCCCGUGUCGGAA